AUCCGGGCGGGAAACUGGGAUGGAGCCGGAAGAGAAUACCGGGAUGGAGCCGGGCGGGAAACCGGGAUGGAUCCGGGCGGGAAUAUCGGAAGAGAUCCGGGUGGGAAUCCCGGGAGGGAUCCCGGCGGGAAUCCUGGGAUGGACCAGGGCAGGAAACCCAGGAUGGAUCUCGGGUGGGAAUCCUAGGAUGGAUCCCGACGUGCCUAUAUGAAUCAAAGGAAUAUUGCUAUAUGUAAUUAUAAGCACACACACAACUGUGUAUUUUACCAUGAAAUAAAUGGUGAAUGAAAGGUGAAGCAGCUUUUGUCUUCUGAAGAACGUAGCAAACUUCUUUCAACCUUUAGUUUGAAGAAGCACCUUUGAAUGAC